rnacentral:rRNA from 1 species
GCCUACGGGGGGCAGCAGUGGGGAAUAUUGCACAAUGGGGGAAACCCUGAUGCAGCAACGCCGCGUGAGUGAAGAAGUAUUUCGGUAUGUAAAGCUCUAUCAGCAGGGAAGAAGAUGACGGUACCUGAAUAAGAAGCCCCGGCUAACUACGUGCCAGCAGCCGCGGUAAUACGUAGGGGGCAAGCGUUAUCCGGAUUUACUGGGUGUAAAGGGAGCGUAGACGGCAGUGCAAGUCUGGAGUGAAAGGCGGGGGCUCAACCCCCGGACUGCUCUGGAAACUGUACGGCUGGAGUGCAGGAGAGGUG